UGGCAUGUCGAGAUGGAAGGCAAAGUCGUGGCUGCUCCCGAGUACUGCCACGCCAACUUCACCCAUUAUUUCACCAAAGCAUUCUGGUCAGACCCGGUCCUGGUCAAGGUUCUUGAAGGAAAACGCCCCUGUUACUUCAACACAGGUGUGAUGGUUGUGGAUGUUGACAAAUGGAGGAAAGGAUUGUACACACAGAAGGUAGAAGAGUGGAUGACGGUUCAGAAGCAGAAGAGGAUUUACCAUUUGGGAUCAUUGCCUCCGUUUUUGCUGAUAUUCGCCGGAGAUAUCAAAGCGGUUAAUCACAGGUGGAACCAGCACGGUCUUGGAGGGGAUAACUUCGAAGGAAGAUGCAGAACGUUGCAUCCGGGUCCCAUAAGUCUUCUUCAUUGGAGCGGAAAAGGGAAGCCAUGGUUGAGACUAGAUUCAAGGAAGCCUUGUAUCGUUGAUCAUCUAUGGGCUCCGUAUGAUCUGUACCGUUCAUCAAGACAUUCAUUAGAAGAGUAGAGGCAAAAAGAAAACAAACAUAAAGAAGAUUGGCACAUAUAUAUAUAUAUAUAUAUAUAUAUAUAUAUAUAAUAGGAGAGGAGAGGAUCCAAAGCAAAGCAGGGUUUUUUUUUUUUAGCGAUCAAAGAGAGCGAAAGUUUUCAUUUUGGAAAUCCAAACAAGUGUAGCAAAAAGAAAGAACUAAUUUUUUUUUCUUCAACACACACUCUUAAUGCAAAAAGACGUUGUGCAUUGAGCUCAGUAGUGUUUAUCACAAGAGAUGGUAUCAAUCAUCAUCAUUUUUUUUGUUCUUCUUUUUCUCCCUCUCUUUGAUUCAACCCAUAGAAUAUUCCGCGUGUAAUAUAAUAGGUAGUAUUCCUGCAAAAAUGGCGGAUUAAAUUCAUUAUUUUUUCAAUUAAAAUUUCUACGAUCCGGCACAGAAACUAGCGAAACCCGUCUAAAUUCCCAACUACAGAGAGUGAUCCAAGUCACCAUAGCUACUAAAGCAUUGAUUUUUUUACAGAAGAAACCAUGAGAAUGCAGAAGUUUUUACCAGGAUAAGUAGAUGAACGUCUCGAUUCUGCAGAAUUCUCCGAUCAGCAAAGGGAGCAAUUGUAUAAGAUUCGAUUCGAGCUUAAUUGAAAUC
rnacentral:lncRNA from 1 species